rnacentral:lncRNA from 1 species
UUUGCAUAAAUGUUUACCUUCAUUCUUAUCUUUAGCUGUUUCUGAUAAAGAACUUAAACUGAAUCUUGUUCUUUGUAUUUGGCCUGAGAUCACUGUCUUCACUGGCUUCUCUGUAUUGUCCCUGUCAUCAUUUGUGUUCCUACUACCUGCCCUACCCUGGCCUGCGAGCCUCUCCUGCCCUGCCUUCCCUGGUGCUGUCAUCAGGGUGUGCAAGGGGAACGAUUUAAUACAGGGCACGUAAUUUAUAGAAUUAUUUUAUAAUAGUCACACCCAAAGAGUCACACACAAGGCAGUGCAGGAAAUCUGUCCACACACUAAAGACCCCAAAGAAUCCAGCUGAGGGCCUGGGUCCACAGCAGCAUCCGGCACGAGUCCAGCUGGAGGCCUACAGCCCACGAUAAUGACCCAUGCAGGUCUGUUUGAUGUGUCUGCCCUGGGAAGGCCUAAAGGUCAGUGGGAAGGGCUAGAAAAUGUGUGCCAGCAGAGUGAAGGAUCUGGGCCAGCAGCUGAGGGAGCCACACUGGAGCCAGGAAGCGAUGCCCAAAGGACGGACCAGGGCUCCGCCAAGGAGAACUACAGCCAUCCUCAGUGACAACAAGGUGCUGAGCUCACCUGAUAACAGUUGGGUCCCCUUCUUAUGCUGCUGGCGGUGCUCCUCAGGUGGGCCCUCUGCACCCCACACCACGAUGACUCGGUUCAGCUGGGCAUUACAAGCUGCAUGCCAGUUGUCCAUCCACCACACCUGGGAUCCUGGGUUUCCACUUCCCCUGAUCUUCCUGCCUGGGGUGCCCUUCCUUCCACCUCUGUCCUUUAAAACUCCCGCAGGUGUGUGGGUGCCGAGAGGCAUUCUUGAUUUUUAUUUGCUGCUUCCGGCGUCCUUCUCUCACCACAAGAUG